AUGUUACAUGGGAAGUAGGUGAUGACAUAAGUAACCGGCUUUAAUAAGCACGAGACCUCGUAGUGUGUGGGAAGGGAGAUCAUUUUCUCGCGUAAAUCCUUGAUUUGAAGAUGAAUUCAGCGCUAAGGAAAGUUGGGUCUCUUUUGAUCCGUCCAAGUGCCACUGUACAGAAGAGAAUGUGGAAUGAUAUGGCUGGUCCGCCAAAAAGAACAGUUUCAAAAUGGACUGUAAUAUGGUCAUCAGUGUUAAUCAACGUCAUCAUCUUCGGAUCCCAUUCGUACUAUUAUUAUUGGAUUACCAAAACAUAUGGGAAAACGUCGCCGCACAAAUUGGCUAAGCUUAAGCGCGCCGCAAAGAACUUAGGCGACAAGAACGCCCUCAAGUCUUAAUCAAGUAAAGAGGAAUAGCUCAGAAUGCUAAAAUUGAUGGCGUUUUAUGAUUGCUGUUUUUAUUUAUUGAUUUGUUUAUGCCAGUUUCUUUUUAUAUAUGGUACAGUUGAAAGUUCAAAAUUGCACAAUUUUUGUUCGACUUUGGUUGAUUUAUGCUUGACUGCUGAAACGUUUACUUCAGUGAGCAGAGUUGAUGUUCAAAGUUGUACUGUGUGAAGAUCAGAACGAUUUAACGAACGCACAAAUUUCGGCAUUGACUAUAGACGUUACCCGUCCAGAUGCACAACUUGGCAAUACGCAUGCAGCUCUGAAGAUAAACUUUCUCUUCCAACUGGAUUAUUUUUACUCCGUGUGUUGCUCUGGAUUAUCCACCAGUGUGAAAUUAUUUGUCUUAAAGAUGGAAAAAGAACAGAACUACAUGAGGAAAUUUAAGCUACCGAACUUUUUAGUCUCUAUACCAGCCUGCUACGAAUAGAUCUGAAACGAGUCGAGAACUCUCAGGAAAUACUGUGCCAGUAUUUAUUCCUAAGCACAACAUUUUGUCGAUACUCUCAUUCAUUUUUAAGUUACCUCGACUCACUAUACUUGUCUUUCUGAUAAAUGUAUUAAUAAUGUUGUCUGUCAG